UACAGAGGGUGCGAGCGUUGUCCGGAAUCACUGGGCGUAAAGGGCGCGUAGGCGGCUUGAUAAGGUUGCGGUGAAAGCCCGGGGCUCAACCCCGGGUCGGCCGUGGCAACUGUCGAGCUGGAGCACUGUAGAGGCAGGUGGAAUUCCGGGUGUAGCGGUGGAAUGCGUAGAGAUCCGGAAGAACACCGGUGGCGAAGGCGGCCUGCUGGGCAGUUGCUGACACUGAGGCGCGACAGCGUGGGGAGCAAACAGG
rnacentral:rRNA from 1 species